rnacentral:rRNA from 1 species
AUGUAAUAAUAAAUAGCCGCAGUUAACUGUGCUAAGGUAGCAUAAUCACUUGUUUCCUAAUUAGAAAAUAGAAUGAAUGGAUUAACGAAUUAAAACUAUUUCUUACUACCCGAAUAAAAUUAAUCUUUGGGUCAAAACCCCCAAAUAUAACAACAAGACGACAAGACCCUGAUAAACUUAUUAAUUUAGUUGGGGCGACAAAAUAAAAAAACCUUAUCUAAACUCUAUUACUCAACCUAACAUAAGACAAUGACCAGUUACUACAGGGAUAACAGCGUUAUUUUUCUUUAGAGCCCUUAUCCAAAGAAAAGAUUACGACCUCGAUGUUGAAUUAAUUAGUCUAGAUGAUGCAAAAAUUAUCAAAGAAAGUCUGUUCGACUUACAAUAAAUUACGUGAUCUGAGUUC